rnacentral:rRNA from 1 species
AGUGAACGCUGGCGGUAGGCCUAACACAUGCAAGUCGAACGGCAGCACAGUAAGAGCUUGCUCUUACGGGUGGCGAGUGGCGGACGGGUGAGGAAUACAUCGGAAUCUACUUUUUCGUGGGGGAUAACGUAGGGAAACUUACGCUAAUACCGCAUACGACCUACGGGUGAAAGCAGGGGAUCUUCGGACCUUGCGCGAUUGAAUGAGCCGAUGUCGGAUUAGCUAGUUGGCGGGGUAAAGGCCCACCAAGGCGACGAUCCGUAGCUGGGCUGAGAGGAUGAUCAGCCACACUGGAACUGAGACACGGUCCAGACUCCUACGGGAGGCAGCAGUGGGGAAUAUUGGACAAUGGGCGCAAGCCUGAUCCAGCCAUACCGCGUGGGUGAAGAAGGCCUUCGGGUUGUAAAGCCCUUUUGUUGGGAAAGAAAAGCAGCAGGUUAAUACCCCGCUGUUCUGACGGUACCCAAAGAAUAGGCACCGGCUAACUUCGUG